GUGGAUAUAGCUCAGUGGUAGAGCACAUGCUUAGCAUGCCUGAGGGCCUAGGUUCAAUUCCCAGCACCUCCA
rnacentral:tRNA from 1 species